UUCGGAAACGGACGCUAAUACCGCAUACGUCCUACGGGAGAAAGCAGGGGACCUUCGGGCCUUGCGCUAUCAGAUGAGCCUAGGUCGGAUUAGCUAGUUGGUGAGGUAAUGGCUCACCAAGGCUACGAUCCGUAACUGGUCUGAGAGGAUGAUCAGUCACACUGGAACUGAGACACGGUCCAGACUCCUACGGGAGGCAGCAGUGGGGAAUAUUGGACAAUGGGCGAAAGCCUGAUCCAGCCAUGCCGCGUGUGUGAAGAAGGUCUUCGGAUUGUAAAGCACUUUAAGUUGGGAGGAAGGGCAUUAACCUAAUACGUUGGUGUCUUGACGUUACCGACAGAAUAAGCACCGGCUAACUCUGUGCCAGCAGCCGCGGUAAUACAGAGGGUGCAAGCGUUAAUCGGAAUUACUGGGCGUAAAGCGCGCGUAGGUGGUUUGUUAAGUUGAAUGUGAAAUCCC
rnacentral:rRNA from 1 species